CAAACAACCCUUCGGGCCAAAAAGGCCUGGCGUUGGGGUGCUGCGUCCCGCAGCCCCUGGAGACCACCGGCAGAACCUGCCGCGCACGGGCGCAGCAACCUAUGCCCCGCGCGGUGGAGCCUUGCCUCUAUCGACUGUAC
rnacentral:misc_RNA from 1 species